GACGAACGCUGGCGGCGUGCCUAACACAUGCAAGUCGAGCGGAGAUGUACUGAAGAUUUAUCGGAUGUACAUCUUAGCGGCGGACGGGUGAGUAACGCGUGGGCAACCUGCCUUUCACUGGGGGAUAACACAGGGAAACCUGUGCUAAUACCGCAUGACAUCACGUAGGGCAUCCUAUGUGAUCAAAGGAGAGAUCCGGUGGAAGAUGGGCCCGCGUCCAAUUAGCUGGUUGGUGAGGUAAAGGCUCACCAAGGCGACGAUUGGUAGCCGAACUGAGAGGUUGAUCGGCCACAUUGGGACUGAGACACGGCCCAGACUCCUACGGGAGGCAGCAGUGGGGAAUAUUGCGCAAUGGGGGGAACCCUGACGCAGCAACGCCGCGUGAAGGAAGAAGGUCUUCGGAUUGUAAACUUCUUUGAUGAGGGACGAAUAAAGUGACGGUACCUCAAAACAGCCACGGCUAACUACGUGCCAGCAGCCGCGGUAAAAGUC
rnacentral:rRNA from 1 species